rnacentral:misc_RNA from 1 species
AACCCUUGUGGAGGAGGACGCCGAAGGUGGGGCUAAUGACUGGGGUGAAGUCGUAACAAGGUAGCCGUACCGGAAGGUGCGGCUGGAUCACCUCCUAACAGGGAGACAACAAAAUGUUUAAUAUUAUUUUGUCACCUUAGGUCGAUCGGUAUCUCACGUUCUUAAUUUAUUAAGGAUUUCAUUUCCUAAGUUUUUCUAGGUCACACCCAUUAUUUUUCCUGGGCCAUUAGCUCAGGUGGUUAGAGCGCACCCCUGAUAAGGGUGAGGUCCCUGGUUCAAGUCCAGGAUGGCCCAUAUCUCUAUGUUGGGGGUAUAGCUCAGUUGGUAGAGCGCCUGCUUUGCAAGCAGGAUGUCAGCGGUUCGAGUCCGCUUACCUCCACUGAUUACCACCUCUUUCAUAAUCCGUAGAAAGGAAAUGUUUUGAGUCGUGAUCAAAUCCUGAACGAAUCUAGCUUCCUAAUGAAAUCAUUAAGAUGCUGGACUCAUUGAAUUAAUUUCAUUGUUUUCAGAGAACCUUGACAACUGCAUAGAUUAUUUUUAAAGACAAUAAGCAUCUUUAAUGAUGCAGAUUUAUUAUUUGUGCGAAUGCAUUAAUAACAAUUCUAUUGAGCUGAUGCUUCAAUUUUGAAGUUAUUGGUCAAGCUACAAAGGGCUCACGGAGGAUACCUAGGCACACAGA